rnacentral:rRNA from 1 species
UUGAUAAAAUUAGUUUUUUUAUUUUAUAUAUAGAAGUAUAAAUCUAUUAGUAGUUUUUACGAAAUUUUUUAUAAGCUAUAGUUUAAUAGUACUGUGAAGGAAAAUUGAAAUAUUAUUGAAAAAAUUUCAUAAAAAAAGUACUUAUUUAUAAAGGUACCUUUUGUAUUAGUGAUUAUUAAAUUUAUUAUAAUAUUUAUUUAUUCUCGAAAAUAAAAGAUCUAGGUAGAUUAAAAAUUUUUUGUUUAAAAAAGAUUUUAUAAUUUUAUUUAGUUGUGAAAUUCUAAUCGCUUUUAUUGAUAUCUAGUAGCUUUAGAAAUAAAUUUAGUUUAGAAUGAUGAGGAAAUUUUUAUUCUUAAUAAAUUCUUAAUUCAUUUUUAAUUUUUAGGGGAUGAGCUCUGAAAAUUAUAUAUAAGAAUUAACCUAUAUAAGUUUUAUAUAGACUUAGAAUUAGUCAUAAAAACGUGUUAUAAAGUGUCACAUAAAGAUUUAGAUUUAUUUUUCUUUCAUACUUAUAAAGCUAAUUAUGAAACUUGUUUUACUUUGUAAUCAUGAUAAUAUUAGUAGAUGAUUUAAUAAAGGAUUUUUUUUUAAACUUUCUUUAUUUUUUUUUAGAAAAGAUCUAACAAAAGAACUCGGCAAAUUAAAUCUCCGAAUGUUUAACAAAAACAUUUCUUCCUAGUUUAGGAAGUAAGGCCUGCUCACUGAAAAUUUAAAGAGCCGCAGUAUUCUAACUGUGCUAAGGUAGCAUAAUCAUUAGUCUUUUAAUUGGGGACUGGUAUGAAGGGUUUAACGAGAGAUUUACUUUUUUUGUUAUAUAAGUUGAAUUUAAUUUUUUAGUGAAAAAGCUAAAAUUUUUCAGAAAGACGAGAAGACCCUAUAGAGUUUUAUGUUAAAUUAUAUUUUUUAUUAUUAGAUUUUAAAAAAUUAAUAUGGUAAAUCAUUUUGUUGGGGCGACAUAAAAAUAUAAAAAACUUUUAUUUUUAAAAAUUUUUUUAAAAAUAUGUUCUGAUCCUUUAAAAAAGAUCAUAAGAAAAAAUUACCUUAGGGAUAACAGCGUAAUCUUUUUUGAGAGUUCUAAUCGACAAAAAGGUUUGCGACCUCGAUGUUGGACUAAAAUUUAGGCAAGGUGCAGCUGCUUUGUUUUAAGGUCUGUUCGACCUAUAAUAUUUUACACGAUCUGAGUUCAGACCGGCGUAAGCCAGGUUGGUUUCUAUCUUCUGAUUCAUAUUGUUCAGCUUAGUACGAAAGGAUUGGUUAAUAGUAAUUAUUAUAUUUUAAGAGGAUAAAUAAUAUUUCUAU